rfam:Roseburia sp. CAG:45 genomic scaffold, scf93
UGGUAAGGGCUGUUAGGGGCACUUAGAAUUUCAUUCGUCCUUUGGCAACGCUGGCACAGGGAUGUGCCAGCGAGGCGCAACUGAACAUGGAUGUGAAUUUGCACCGGUUGCCGGAACAUAAAACUUCAAUACCGAAAUUCUUAGUGCCCCUUGCAGGCGUUAUGU